GAUAGAGGCGCGGUACGCAUCAGUACCCUUCCGCACAGGCCAGGCAGCCGCGGAAACGGGGAAAGGGAAUACCGCCGAAGCUGUGAAGAUGCCUGAAUCUUGGCAGCUGGGCCGUCAGAGAACAUCUGCCGGACUGUCACAAAGUCUUUUGUGAAGCGCUAUCA
rnacentral:ncRNA from 1 species